GGGGUUAUAGCUCAGCUGGAUAGAGCAUCGGCCUUCUAAGCCGAGGGUCGCAGGUUCGAAUCCUGCUAAUCCCA
rnacentral:tRNA from 1 species